rnacentral:rRNA from 1 species
CACGUAGGGGGCAAGCGUUGUCCGGAUUUACUGGGCGUAAAGGGCUCGUAGGUGGCCAACUAAGUCAGACGUGAAAUCCCUCGGCUUAACCGGGGAACUGCGUCUGAUACUGGAUGGCUAGAGAUUGGGAGAGGGAUGCGGAAUUCCAGGUGUAGCGGUGAAAUGCGUAGAUAUCGAGAGGAACACCUGCGGCGAAGGCGGGUUGCUGGGCCGACACUGACGCUGAUGCGCGAAAGCCAGGGGAGCGAACGGG